GAUUUGUAGUUUGGUGGUUUGAGCGUUGGACUAUGACUCUGGGGACCAGGGUUUGAUUCCCUGCUCAAGCG